GUCUGGCGUGGAAGCGCAGUGAUGCGUGGAGCGGACAGAUACGAAUCGGUCGAGGGCUUCACCU
rnacentral:rRNA from 1 species